rnacentral:rRNA from 1 species
AUUGAACGCUGGCGGCAUGCUUUACACAUGCAAGUCGAGCGGCAGCGCGGCCUUCGGGCUGGCGGCGAGCGGCGAACGGGUGAGUAAUGCAUCGGAACAUGCCCAGUCGUGGGGGAUAACACUUCGAAAGAAGUGCUAAUACCGCAUACGUCCUGAGGGGGAAAGCGGGGGAUCGCAAGACCUCGCGCGAUUGGAGUGGCCGAUGUCAGAUUAGCUAGUUGGUGGGGUAAAGGCCUACCAAGGCGACGAUCUGUAGCUGGUCUGAGAGGAUGAUCAGCCAAACUGGGACUGAGACACGGCCCAGACUCCUACGGGAGGCAGCAGUGGGGAAUUUUGGACAAUGGGGGCAACCAUGAUCCAGCCAUGCCGCGUGAGUGAAGAAGGCCUUCGGGUUGUAAAGCUCUUUCGGCAGGAACGAAACGGUGGGCUCUAACAUAGUCCGCUAAUGACGGUACCUGAAGAAGAAGCACCGGCUAACUAC